AGAGUUUGAUCCUGGCUCAGAAUCAACGCUGGCGGCGUGCCUCAGACAUGCAAGUCGAACGAUUAAACUUUCCUUCGGGAAAGAUAUAAAGUGGCGCACGGGUGAGUAACACGUAAGUAAUCUACCUUCGAGUGGGGAAUAACGUUCGGAAACGAACGCUAAUACCGCAUAAUGCAGCGGCAUCGCAAGAUGACAGUUGUUAAAGGAGCAAUCCGCUUGAAGAGGAGCUUGCGGCAGAUUAGCUAGUUGGUAAGGUAAUGGCUUACCAAGGCUACGAUCUGUAUCCGGUCUAAGAGGACGGUCGGACACACUGACACUGAACAACGGGUCAGACUCCUACGGGAGGCAGCAGUCGGGAAUUUUGGGCAAUGGGCGAAAGCCUGACCCAGCAACGCCGCGCGAAGGAUGAAGUAUUUCGGUAUGUAAACUUCGAAAGAAUAGGAAGAAUAAAUGACAGUACUAUUUAUAAGCUCCGGCUAACUACGUGCCAGCAGCCGCGGUAAUACGUAGGGAGCAAGCGUUGUUCGGAUUUACUGGGCGUAAAGGGCGCGUAGGCGGCGCGACAAGUCACUUGUGAAAUCUCCGGGCUUAACUCGGAACGGCCAAGUGAAACUGUCAUGCUAGAGUGCAGAAGGGGCAAUCGGAAUUCUUGGUGUAGCGGUGAAAUGCGUAGAUAUCAAGAGGAACACCUGAGGUGAAGACGGGUUGCUGGGCUGACACUGACGCUGAGGCGCGAAAGCCAGGGGAGCAAACGGGAUUAGAUACCCCGGUAGUCCUGGCCCUAAACGAUGAAUACUUGGUGUCUGGAAUUAUUAUUGUUCCGGGUGCCGUCGCUAACGUUUUAAGUAUUCCGCCUGGGGAGUACGCACGCAAGUGUGAAACUCAAAGGAAUUGACGG
rnacentral:rRNA from 1 species